CAACAAUUUCAGAAAAUAAAUAAAAAACAAACGAAAAAUUAAAGCAUCUAGAAAAGCCCAAUAUAUGGACUGCAAGACGUAAAUUUUGAAUGGUUAUUUCCAUCCUUUGACGUAAUAUUUCAAAUUCGACUAUGAGGACUGGACUAGAUUUCAAGUCCUCGCAAUUUGAUCGAGUCCGAGGCGAAGUUCGGAUAAAGGCCACAGGAAUUAUUGUCGUGAAUUUAGAACUAGUGACUCAUGUGUGUUUUUAAAUGUAUACUGCUUCAUAAGUGUAGCAACUUCAAUGCCUUUAAUAAAAAAUUUAAUAAUGUGUAUGCUUUUCUAAGAAUAAAUUGUUUCGUCCUGUUCCGUUAGAUUUCAUUUGACAUUCUAGUCAAAGGUGUACGGGGCUGAUGCUUUCCAGGGGGGCAGUUGAAAGUUUGCCAGAAUUUGUAUGGAGAAUUGUAAUGAAAUUACCUGAAUUUAAGCUAUUUUUCUGAUAA